AGGUCGAUGCCGCGCCGGAUCAGCAGGUCGGCGCUGGAGCCGUUGAGCAGGCCGUUCUCGGCGCGCUCCAUGUCGCGCUCGCUCUC
rnacentral:tRNA from 1 species